ACAGCUUAUCAUUUGGUCGUGAACAGUUUUAAGGACUAAUCGAUAAAUCCUCUCUUUAUCGAACUUAAAUAGUCCUAAAGACUUCAUCAUAACAAUGGAGUUCAUUAGAAGAUGAAAGCUUAUGAUGAAGAUGCCAAAUAUAUUUUAUUUAUUAACAAAUCAAUUACAAUACUUGAUUGCUCAACCGUCAACAGCUUGACGAUUGGCUUUUGGGACAUAUUUUCCAACAACUCCCACUUGUCCUAAAGCCACUCGGCAC
rnacentral:lncRNA from 1 species